GGUAAAGAAAAUCCAAGGCUCAAGGAAACAGUGAUUAUAAAGGACCAUCUGAAUCACAGCCUCCACUGCCCUGAGAGCAGAUGUAAAUCGUGCCCAGCUACCACUACUGACAGAAUUCAGCCCAAACUCCUCCAUAUGCCCUAGGAAAAUGAUUGAGACCUUCAGCAGAAAUGAUUGAGACUACGAAUGACUCGGGAAAAACAGAGCUUUUCUGUUCUAUUAACUGCUUAUCUGCUUACAGAGUUAAGACAGUUACUUCUUCAGAGCGUAUUCAACAAGCCAAAAGGAGCAACUCCUUCAGCAGGCCCCUCCCAGGGCAAAGUGGUGGGGAGCCCACCCCCAGAAGGAGGUGACUGACCCCCAGCCCUGUCCCCCGGCUCCACUCAGGGCGCUGCUGCCGCCUGUCUCCAGCCUCCGGCCGAACAAUCCCAGCAAGUUGCUCACACAAUUGCUAAGCUCAGGUGUCAGCAUUGUGACCAUCUGCUUGCCGCAAAACCAGAACUUCUUUUCUACGAGGUAAAGAGAAAGCAAGAAAGGGCCUGCAUUUAAACUUAACCAGGAGACACAUUCCCGUCUGAUCGUCUUGACAGCCAUGCAGUGGACUUGAAAAUGAGAAGUGCAGUGGUAUUCUUUUUUUUUUUUUAACCAAGCAACAAUGUACAACAAAACAGCAACAACA